CAGUGGCGCAUAUCAGCAGACAGCUGCCACUAGUGUGGCUCAUUUAAAUCUCUGUUCAGCUCCGGGUCCCUUUUUUCAGGAAUCCUUGUUUCGGGACACAGGCAAACGGCCGGAAAGCCGCGCAGUCGCAGCCCGUGCGCUUCACUCCGCCCAAAUAAGCCACUACCGUCCCCAACCCCUUCUUGUUCGCCCGAGCCGCGGACCUGAGGGAGCGUUGUUCGCUCCCCGCAAGAUGCUUAAGCGAAAAAUGCAGUCUUCAGUGUCUGAGGCCACGCCGCGGCUUUCGGCCUCGGUGAGGGGUGAACUAAACCCGGGAAACCGCGGAAAGACCCCAGCUUCGACUAGGCCUAGUCGUAGCGGCGGCCAGCGGGAGGACGUAGCCGUAGUUUUGGCCCACGUCAUUCUGUGCCCCGGGUCAGGUCACCGCCCCAAGAGUAUGGGAAGAGAAAUGAAAAAGAUUGGUACUCCCAGACCCUUCCGUAUCGAGGACCCCAAUCAACAACCCACCUGGCAUGAUCAACCAGGUACAGAAUCAGUUUUUUGGUUGUAGAUGACUUAAGAGUUAGGGUCAACUUGUGUUUGAGAUGGAGUCCCACUAUUUUGCCCAGGCUGGUCUUGAACUCCUGGGCUCAAGCAAUCCUCCUGCCUCAGCCUCCCAAAGUGCUGGGGUUACAGGUGUGAGCCACUGUGCCCAGCCCAGAGAACAUGAUCUUAACCAUACUGUCUCCCAAGUGAAAGAUUCUACCUUUCUAAGAAAUCUGGAGUCAGACAGACCUGAGUUCAAGUCGUGCCUUCCUCCCCACUUUACUGAACCUUCAGUAAGUCUUUCUACCUCAGAAGGCUAUAAGGAUGCCAUGGGGGUAAUGAAUGUAAAGUGUUUAAGUGCUUGGCUGACAGUGAGUACUAAAUAAAUA